rnacentral:rRNA from 1 species
UACGUAGGAGACGAGCGUUGUCCGGAAUUACUGGGCGUAAAGCGCGUGUAGGCGGAUGAGCAAGUCUGCUGUGAAAGCUCCUGGCUUAACCGGGAGUGGUCGGUGGAAACUGCUCGUCUGGAGGACGGUAGAGGUAGGUAGAAUUCCCGGUGUAGCGGUGAAAUGCGUAGAGAUCGGGAGGAAUACCUGUGGCGAAGGCGGCCUACUGGGCCGGACCUGACGCUGAGACGCGAAGGCGUGGGGAGCGAACGGG